rnacentral:lncRNA from 1 species
AUGCGACGUCGCCCAUUCGCCCCGCGCUGCCCAUCAUCGGCACCGCGCUCAGCGCUCCUCUCCCACAUCUCCAGGAGGGGGAAGCAGAUCCUCAGCUCCACGUUUCCUCCUCUACCCGACUACGGUGGGAGAUGCAGUUUUGCGGCAAUAAAAGCAUUCCGGCAGCCGGAUGGGACCCUCGGGGAGGAGAGGGCAGCCUGGCUGCAUCCCCAGAGCACCGCGGUGCUGUUGGCCGAGAGCUGCUACAUCCAUUCUAGCGCACCAAAACCCAGAGAAGCACUCCAGGAAAAAAAAAUAAAUAAAAAUCAGUGCUUCGUUAAUGAAACCUCUGCACUUCUGCAGGGCACUGCCAUCCCGGCUACGAGUGACAAAAGCAGCUUUCCGACCUCUCUUAGCUCCCCCAAAAUCCAUCCCAAACCGCUGAGCUCCGACAUCUGCUGCGCGGGUUGGUUGGAGCUGAGCGCGAAUCCACAGUCUGGGAUGCCCACAGCCCGGCUUCCAGGCUGCUCCACACACUCCAGCUUUUGUUAUGGGAGGAGGAAAAGCUGCUCUGGUUUCGACGCAUCUGCUCAGCGCCGCUCCUCCUCUUCCUCCUCGCAGCCUUCCUCCUGCACGAGGAGGUCCCUCGGCGCCUUUGCUGAGGGCUGUCCCCAUCUCCGCUCUCUCCACGGUGCCACAGCCAACCCCGUUUGCUCUCCACGCACGACCUCAGCACCAACCCCCUGCACGCAUCACCCGCUGCUGUUCUAUCGGCAGCGAUGCUCUGACGGCGCUCAGACACCUCACACCGAGGUGGGACGGCUCCGUGCCGUGCGGACAGCAGGAAGGGAAGGAAGCAGAUGGAGCUCCGGGCUCAGAGCGGUGCCAGCAGUUUGGGACCGUCCCCGUGUGCUGCUGCAGGAGCUCUGGCAUGCAGGUGCUUUGGGAAAGCUCCCAAGUUCUGCUUUGCAGCGAAGGGGACGGAUCCAUCUCAGUUUGCAUCUUUUGGUGCCAAAUUGUCCCUCUGGCAGCUUCCUUCCCAUCCCAGCCUCACACGGAGCAGAGGAUUCAAUGGAACAUCCAUUGGAAUGGAGGCAAACAGCCCCCCGAGAGGCAGCUUGGAACUGUAGGGCACGUAGAUGGGGCUGUGUACAAUUCCCAGCUCUGCAAUGGGUGAGUCCUUGUGGCACAGGGUGA